AAAACUCUCAUCAUCUGGAUGUAUAGCAGCUCCCCCAUCAGGCAGAGGACUCUCUUGCUCUUUGUAUUUAUGACCAAUAAAAGCUCACUAACUGAUGUAAUCAAAGACCAUGGACACAGAGGCUGCACUGUAGGUGAAACAGAAGAUUGGACUGUUCCCCUGAAGAGAUGUUAUCACUGUAAGGCUCAGUAAGCAUGAACCUGUGAUCCACUCCUACCCUGCGAGCAGGGAUUUCAACUCCCUUACAGCUAAAAGAGGAAUAAGGAGCAUUAACUUUGUACAAGGGACUACGCCGCCGAGGGGGAACUGGAAAGGAGGAGGGAGAAGGAUGAUAUUCUUAGCACUGACAGUGCUGCUGCACUCAUAAAACCUUUGCUUUAUCUCUCCCAACAAUCAGUCUAAUUAUGUUCAUUGGAGGAGUCCAAUUAAUCCUCCAUUGUCAGCCGGUGGCUAAGUGUUUCUCUACCCCUCACACUGCCACACACAGUCACAGUGGAAUCUGCAAUUAACACUACCCAAAUUUAUUUAGCGCCACUUGCCUCAGCUUCUGACUCCCUCCAAUUAUGCCUAAUCAAUUCCACCAGGAGGUGGCGGGGGAGCGGGGCACUGGGGAGGUCACUGUCAUUUGCUGCGACAAACCCCUGUGCGCCACCCAAAGGCCAGACGUGUCAGUGAUGUUGUCAUGUGGCAAGACAUGCAAGCGAUACUCGCUGAAUAGCUAACUAAUACCCCAGCUGCCCCUGCCCGUGGUGCCUCCUCUUGCUCCAUUGUUGGUGAUAAUUGAAAAACUUGCGAUAUGGACUAAAGGUGGCAGCACUUGGCUUUCAAAACCCUCCGGACAAACAUGCCAGGACCUGGCCUGGCCUGGCCUGGCCUCGUCUCCAGGCUGCUAAUUAAAUGACCACAGAAUAACUGAACUAUAAGGACUGUAACCAGUCACUAGUGCCCGGCUGAUGAAAAUAGUCCUGUCUAUUCUAUUAAAUAAGCUGUUCUAAGUGCACAGUGGAUACAAGUAAUGGCUCCACACGAGCAGGAAAUCAGACAACAUUUUGCAGAAUUACCAAAAGUAUUGCAAGGAGAAAAAAUAUCAAUGGAAAUGUUCACUGUUAAGUGCAUAACUAUAACCUGACCCUGUCAGAUGGUUUGCCAUCUGGAAAAGCGGCAGGCACUUUCAAAAAAUACUUGGCAGGUGAUUGGAUGAACCAUCUGUCAAUCAAGGCAAAAACAUCGCCUUCAGUGCCAUUCUUUGCUCUUCUUCUGAAGAAAUACUGAUAUAACUGAUGCUAUUGCAGCUACGCUAACCUCUUCAGGAGCCGCCAUUGUUGUUUAGACCAAACUGUCGCCUCUCUGUGUCGUGUCACGCUGUGGUCUCACACGCUUAAGCCAUGCCCGUAGUUGCAGAAGCUCCUCACAAGAUGCUGAUUGAUCCGUACUCUGGCUUGCCGGACAUAAAACGCAUUACUUGCAGCCUGCCAAGAUGGAUUUUCGUGUGACAUUUGAUUCCGCAAUUCUUGCGUGAUCUUGUGACAUUGCUAGAAUCCAGGGGCCGUGCAAGAUUAGCAUGACUAUGUUUGGAGAAUAAAUCGUAUAAAAUUGGAAAUCACCUAGCAUUUGGUUCAAUCAAAAAACGUUUUGAAGGCACGCCUUGUGCUCUUCUUGGUGGCUAAAGAUACAUUUCUCUUUACAACACCUGCUACAUUAAAAGUUCUCACUGUUUCAACCUAAAUACUGUGCCUGUUGCAGAAAAUAUACUGUACACACUUUGUUACCCAGCAAAAUAUAUAACCAUAAAGCCAAAUGUCGUAUUGCACUGAACUCCAACCUUGCACUUUACUGCAGCCUUAAAAUGACCAAAGUUGAACUGUCUAAAAUGUAGUAUUUGUUGCAAAGCUGUAAUAUUGGACUGGAUCUGACAGUUAUCCUGUGGGGUAGAUACAUGACAUGUGCUUCUGCAUAUUUGCAGCAUGUGGUGUAAUAUAUACAGUAUCUGUAUGCGCAUGUGAAAUCUGUAUGUAUGUAUACAGGCAUGUGCACAAGCAUAUGCAUAUCUUUGCAGUAUGUCAAUGUAUGAAAUUUAACAUGCUCACUCAUGCUAACAUUUCCACAUUGUGUGUAUGCGUAAAUUCACUGCCCAUGGCUCACAGGCAGGUUGGCCUCCCAGCGCUGUCAAACCAAAGCCCCGCAGUGGGCACAGACACUAGAAAGGUCUGAAGGGCACAGGCACAUGGAGGGACUGUGCAGCCAAGUGUGCGUUCCUCUGCAAGGCUCACUGCAUCUGACUGUGAGCGGAAAAAAAAUCAGAACAAGGGUGUGUGCCUGCGUGUUUUUUGUGUGUGUGUGUGCGCGCUUCUAGCUGACAAAUAAAAGAAAAAAAA